UGAGAAAGAGAAGAGACCCGAUGGAUCCUAAUGGAGAGAAACACUCUGGAUUCCCCCGAAUUUUCUGCUUAAGAAUUGGCAAAAGAAAGGUGGUCCCUCUGUCACUGUCAGCAGUGAUUAGGAGCCCUUCGUACGCACUCUAACAAGCUGCUCAAGGACAGGAAACCAUCCCAUUUCUACACAGCCAGGCUGGCACAGAAGCCAGAACAGUGCAGUUGUAACCAGCAACGCAGUGAGACAGGCACAGGCACAGCCUGGCGGAGGCUAAAGCAGGAAGACGGUGAGGUGGAAGCUAGCCUGGACCAAAGAGCAAGAUCGUGGUGCUGGAAAGAAAACGUAGGGUCUCAUGUUUGUAUCAAACCCUCUCUGCUGAGUCACACCUCCCUCCCUCCUCCACUUGCUUCCUUUGUUGUUGGUUUUGUUUUGUUUUUGAGACAGAGUUUAUUUAAGGUCAGGCUGUCUUUGAACUGCUCCGAGCUGCCACUUCCCAGCUGCUAGAAUUGCAGAACUGUGCUACCCUGCCUGGUUCUUGCUUUCUAACGGGAAAAUUCCUUUCAGUUGCUUUUUUUUUUUUUUUCAGGUAUUUUGUUCCAGGAUAGAAAUGUGACUAACACCCAGCUGUUAUCUUAAUGGAUACUAUUUCUUCCUUCUUCCUUGACGUCACUACCUUGCUCUGGAAUGAUAAUUAGACCUUACUGUUUUGUGUUUGCAUGCAUGAGCCGAGGCUCCCACGUGGAGGUCAGAGGGUGAACAUGGGAAUCCAGCUUGAACUCAGCUCCUCAGGUUUGGCACUGAGCACUCUUGCCAGUUGCAGAACUCAGUCUUUCCACUUCUCUUUCAUUUUCAUCUUUAUUUGGGAUAAGUUCAGAAUUCCUUUAUGUCUGUCUUCCCGUUUUCAAAUUCUUUCUUCAGGUAUAGACAUUUCUUUCUUCUGUGAUCACUUGUGACUACUCAUGCUUUUGUUUUUGACUUCUAAACAUUGCUUGGUUACUUUAAAAAUGUUUUAGUAUUUAGAAUGCCUUGUUUGUUACCUGUAUUAUCUUAACUUUUGAAGAUCUUUAGUACUUUACAUUAUGUGUUCAACGUAUGUUUUGAGCCUUUCUCUGUUUUGCCAGAGUGUCUGGGGCACAUUGUCUCUGCGUAUUCUGUGAUGUUCAAUUUAAUCCCCUUUUGGGAUUGCGUUGGCUGGCCUUAAGCUUAAUUUAAAUUCUUUGUUUUCUGUUUUGAGGUUUGUUUUUAAUUAUGUGUCUCUGUGGGAAUGUGCAUGUGAGUGCUGGUCCCACUAAGGCCAGAAGAGAAGGUGGGAUCAUUUAGGGUUGGAGUCCAGGUAGCUGUAAACUUGGUCCAAACUUGGGAGAUCUGCUUUUCACAGCCUCUCCAGCCAAACCUCAUUUUGACUUAGCUCCCACCAAACCUUUAUGGAGCACUGCUACUACUUUAAACAAAGUUUCCAGCUUAGUUAUUUUAGUAGAUUAAUAAGGUUACUUUUUAACUUGAUGUUGUCAUGCCUGAGAACUGUGCAAUUGAGUUACAAAAAAAAAUUGCCAAAAGGAAAAAAAUUCUCAUAACUUUUUAUAGUUUUUUUUAAUUUUAUGUGCAUUGGUGUUAUGCCUACACACGUGUCUGUAUGAGGUGUUACACGUGUCUGUAUGAGGUGUUACACGUGUCUGAAUGAGGUGUUACACGUGUCUGUAUGAGGUGUUACACGUGUCUGAAUGAGGUGUUACAUGUGUCUGUCUGUCUGAAGGGUGUUGGAUCUGCAGGACCUGGAGUUACCGACAGUUGAGAUCUGCCAUACGGGUGCCAGGAAUUGAACUCUGGUGCUCAGGGCUCUUUAUUUGUUUGUUUUUGUUUUUUCCAGACAGUGUCUGUCUGUGUAGCCUUCGCUGUCCUGGAUUCACUUUGUAGACUAGGUUGGCUUUGAACUCACAGAGAUUUGCCUGCCUCUGCCGCCCCAGUGCUGGGAUCAAAGGCGUGCUCCGUCACUGCUGGAGGAGGAGGAGCAGCCUCUGUUGUCCCAGUGGUUCAAGUGACAGCCCUUCUUCAGAGACUGGCUUCAGCGGCGUCCUUCCCCAGCUUGAGCUUGCAGCUCUCUGGAGCGGAGAUCUCAGGUCAAAGCGAUGCCGGGCGACUGGACGUUACAGAGCCCACAGAGGACAGAGAGGGCGUCAGAUCCCUGGAACCAGAAGUGAAGAACCACCAAGUGGGUGCUGGGAAUUGAACCUAGGUCUUCUGCAAGAACAGCCAGUGCUCUUCACCACUGAACCAUCUCUCCACAAGAAACCUCACACUGCCAUUGGGAGUGGACUAAUAUGGAGAAUGGGCAUUUGCUGACAGAUUUGCUGGCGUGACCUCCCUUAGCUGUGAACAGGGACUGCCGUGCUUUUCCUUAACAGCUGAGAACCAGCCAUGAACACGCUGCCCUUGCUCAAAGAGCUUUGCCCUGGACGCGCUGGAGGCUGAACCCGUGGCUCUCACCUGACUGAGACAGGCUCUGGGGUAGCCCAGGCUGGCCCAGAGCUCACCAUGGAGCCGAGGAUGGCCUUGAGCGCCUAUCCGCUUGCCCCUACCUCCCACGCUGGGAUUCCAGGCAUGGACCACAGUGCCUGGCCCCAUGCUGGAUUCUGAAAACUCUGCUGUGCUCAAGAACCACUCUAAGGACAGACUAUGUUUUUACGUUAAAUGUCAUCUUUCACAGCUCUGGGAAUCGGAGUGGGGUCUGGGGUUUGCUGGGUAAACACUGCUUUUGAGCUUCAUGCACAGCGAUUUGAAAAUUUCAUCUUAAGACAGGGUCUGAGGAAACUAUCCCCUCUAGUGUUGAACUGUGUGCCAGGCAACUUUGAACCUUAAAGCCCUCCUCAGCCUCCUGAGUGGCUGGGUUGACAGGCCGUGCUGGCCGAGCAGCGGUUCUCAACAAGCAUCUUAGGGAGGUCCAACAACGCCACAGGAGUCACAGCUCACAGCUUUACACCGCCAUUCAGAACACUAGCAAAAGUACAGUUACCAAGUAGCUGUGAAAAGAAACUGAUGGUUGGGCUCGGCGCACCACGAGGACCUGUAUUAAAGGGUCGCAGCGUUAGCGGGGGUUGAGAGCCGCUGCUCAGUUCCCAGAGCGGCUCCGAAUCCUGUUGGUUCCAGGAGCCUUUGGCUCCAUGCUGCCCCCAGGCCCUCAUACCGGGAGGAAUGUGAGCAUGCGCCAGAGCCUGGCCUCUCUCAGUCACAGUUAACCUACCGUAACCGGCAGUCUUCACUGUCACCUUGACUAGAUUCCAGUCGCUGAGGAGACAUGCCCAUUGGUGCUUAUAGGGUGGUCUAACUAGGAAUGAAGACUCAGCCUGCCUGUGGAAUCCAGACCUGGAUAAGAUGGAGAAAUGGAGAUAAGAAGAAGGGGUCCUAGUUGUAAAUAACCUGCAGGGCCCCAGCCUUGCUCCAUGGGUGUUCUGAACAAGCAGCCUCUGCACGCUGUCGCCUGCCCCGCCUCUUUUUCUCAGCACAUCCAUCCCUUCAUCCGUCCGUCCAUCUGUCCAUCCAUCCACCCACCCACCCAGCUACCCAUCCAUGCAUACAACCAAUAAACCAGCUGCAAGUGUUUUAUGAAUGCCUAUGUGUAAAGCAUGUGCUAAGUCUGGAGACAGAUAAGUACGUUUUUUGCUAUUUUAAAGUUUCGAUACGUAUACACAUACAUACAAACCAAACCAUGUACAUGUAUGAAUCCUACCCAUGUACACGUGUCUUUAUAAGUGCUCCCCAGACAGGAUAAAGAAAGGCAAAGCCGAA